ACCUGGAUGGCUUAGUUGGUUAGGCGUCUGACUUCGGCUCAGGUCAUGAUUUCACAGUUCAUGGGUUUGAGUCCCGUGUCAGGCU
rnacentral:tRNA from 1 species